GCCUGGGUGGCUCAGUAGGUGAAGCAUCUGACUUCGGCUCAGGUCAUGAUCUCACAGUUUGUGGGUUCAAACCCCGCAUCGAGCU
rnacentral:tRNA from 1 species